GUACACGCUGUGACUAGCAUAUCAAUAAGCGGAGGAAAAGGAGUAUACCUACGCUUAGGAUGUUGACGAGACUGUCGAUCUCAUCUAUACAUGACUCUGUGCAUAUCAAUAAGCGGAGGAAAAGAAACUAACAAGGAUUCCCCUAGUAACGGCGAGUGAAGCGGGAAGAGCUCAAAUUUGAAAUCUUAAAGGGUUUCCCUUUACGAGUUGUAGUUUAAAGAAGUGUUUUCUGUUGAGGCUUUGGUAAAAGUUCUUUGGAAUAGGACAUCAUAGAGGGUGAGAAUCCCGUAUUUGACCUUUACUUUCAACUUUGUGAUACACUUUCAAAGAGUCGGAUUGUUUGGGAAUGCAGUCCAAAAUGGGUGGUAAAUUUCAUCUAAAGCUAAAUAUUGGCGAGAGACCGAUAGCGAACAAGUACCGUGAGGGAAGAUGAAAAGAACUUUGAAAAGAGAGUUAAACAGUACGUGAAAUUGUCAAAAGGGAAGCGUUUGACACCAGUGUUGUUUUUCUGAAAAUCAAUUAAAGAACUGUUUAUGCUAAGCUGUUUAGACUUUAUCAGCUAUCUGUUUAGUUUUGAGCUUUUCUUUAAUGCACUUUUCAGUUAACAAGUCAACAUCAAUUUCUUUUGCUGUAUAAAAGCUUGAGGAAGGUGGCUUGAGAUUCGUCUUAAGUGUUUAUAGCCUCUUGCCUAUGCAGUCGGAGAGAUUGAGGUCUGCAGCGUAGAUCCUUCGGGGCUAAAUGCAUUUGUGCUAAGUUAUAACAUUUUAUAGACAACUUGUUGACUAUGAUUUGUCUUGUAGCUUACUCGCUUAUGUUAUUUUACCUACGCUUAGGAUGUUGACGAGACUGUCGAUCUC
rnacentral:rRNA from 1 species